AUCCAAAUGCCUAAACCUUGGAAUCAAAAGAUAGAUGUAAUCCCAGCAAACAUGCUUUCAGCGGACCGUGAUGCGCAAAGCCGCCGCCGGUAAGCCAGUGCUGACCCUUUGUUAUGCCUAAUGCGGGUGCCGCUGCCGGGUAGCUGAUGCAGGACCAGCAUCCUAUUUUAUGUUGGCUUUCCGUCAUCGCGGAAGAGCGAUAAAACACUUCGUCGCCAAUGCAAUUUUAAAUGGGCAUGCCAGCUUCGGUAAGUUCAUCAGGAUACGCUGUAGCUUUGCCCACACAAUGCCAAAGUGGGCUUUUGGAUGGCGGUAAGCUGUCGUAAAAUACAUCAAAAGCAAGCGUUUCAAGCGCCAUGAGACUUUGAUUGGUCGAUAUCGAUAUAUGGUUUUAUUUUAUUAGUGUUUAUUAAAUACUAAGAGGUUUAGUUGCUUUUGUCUCCAUGUUGUCCAAGGGUUAUGUCGGCCAUGAUCCUAAUAUUAUCAUGGGUUUAGCAGAGUUGUUUAACUUGCAAACUGGAUUAAAGAUUUUGAAUAAAUUUUUGUGUUCUUAAUAUGGUCACAAGUUUGUACUUGUUUAAAACCCUCAAUCAUUUGAAAAUUAUGGCGCCGACAUGGUAGAUGUCCUAGAAAAAACUGGUAGUAACUCAAUUUAGAUACACAUAGUCGAUGGAGUUACUUGCUAAUAACUGGCAAUGAGACAUAUUUGCUUCAAAUGAUGCCUUUAAAGUUUGAAAAGAUUUUUUCUAAUUCAAAUGUCGACUUUUUGUUACAUGAAAAAAGAUACUUAUUUCAACCCCUCGACCAUAUUGGUA